rnacentral:rRNA from 1 species
AUGAAAAAUUAUUGGGGAUUUAAGGAUGGCAUUGCGAAAACUGUGUGGGUCUCAUGGGAGGAUGUGACAAUGCCAAAGUAUAUAGGCGGUUGGGGUUUUUGUAAUACCGAGCUUUUUAGCUUGGCCAUGUUGACGAAGCAUGGAUGGAAAAUUCUACAAGAGCCUACGUCACUUGGUGCGAAGGUAUUGAAAGUUUUUUGUUACCCCUUUGUAGAUAUUCUUGAUUUAGAGCUUGGCAACCACCCUCGGCAAGCGUGUUGCGCUAUUCAUGCAGGGAUGUCAGUAUUUAAACAUGGAUUAGUUAAGAGAAUUGAUGAUGGAGAGUCAGCAAAUAUCUGGAAUCAUAACUGGCUACCAUACGAUAAUAUGAUGUGGUCUUUAUAA